rnacentral:rRNA from 1 species
GUGAAGAUGCAGUGUACCCGCGGCAAGACGGAAAGACCCCGUGAACCUUUACUAUAGCUUGACACUGAACAUUGAGCCUUGAUGUGUAGGAUAGGUGGGAGGCUUUGAAGUGUGGACGCCAGUCUGCAUGGAGCCGACCUUGAAAUACCACCCUUUAAUGUUUGAUGUUCUAACGUGGACCCGUUACCCGGGUUGCGGACAGUGUCUGGUGGGUAGUUUGACUGGGGCGGUCUCCUCCUAAAGAGUAACGGAGGAGCACGAAGGUUGGCUAAUCCUGGUCGGACAUCAGGAGGUUAGUGCAAUGGCAUAAGCCAGCUUGACUGCGAGCGUGACGGCGCGAGCAGGUGCGAAAGCAGGUCAUAGUGAUCCGGUGGUUCUGAAUGGAAGGGCCAUCGCUCAACGGAUAAAAGGUACUCCGGGGAUAACAGGCUGAUACCGCCCAAGAGUUCAUAUCGACGGCGGUGUUUGGCACCUCGAUGUCGGCUCAUCACAUCCUGGGGCUGAAGUAGGUCCCAAGGGUAUGGCUGUUCGCCAUUUAAAGUGGUACGCGAGCUGGGUUUAGAACGUCGUGAGACAGUUCGGUCCCUAUCUGCCGUGGGCGCUGGAGAACUGAGGGGGGCUGCUCCUAGUACGAGAGGACCGGAGUGGACGCAUCACUGGUGUUCGGGUUGUCAUGCCAAUGGCACUGCCCGGUAGCUAAAUGCGGAAGAGAUAAGUGCUGAAAGCAUCUAAGCACGAAACUUGCCCCGAG